rnacentral:rRNA from 1 species
GGGACAAGAAGACCCUAUGAAUCUUUAUUAUUAUGUUAUAGGAUAAUAAUAUAAUAAUUUAAUUGGGGCGAUUAAAAAAGAAUAAUUAUCUUUAAUUUGAAUUUAUUUUUUAAAUGAAUGAAAAGAUACUCUAGGGAUAACAGCGUUAUUAUUUUGGAUAGUUCAUAUUGAUAAAAUAGUUUGCGACCUCGAUGUUG